GGUAAGCUCGCAUUAAUAACGCAACGUUCGAGGGAGUUAGAUCCCUUCUCACAAAAAACAUCAAGAAGGAACAGGGGGUGGGAUUAGGCCAUCUUAAUUGGCCACAUGUGCCCAUUUGGAGACACCAUGGGCUAAUCCAUUACAGUUUCUAGGUAUUUUUCAAAAAUUCAACUUUGCUCUGCAUUCCCAAAUUGUCGAGGUGGUUUGGACAUCAAUCUGGGCUGCUCGAUUAACUCCAUCUGAUUUUUCUUGAUCUAGUUGAUGGCAACAGCUGAGUCAAACUCGAUGAUGGCUUUUUGUAUUUGCUCCAUGGAUUUUUACAACUGCAAAUCUGAUUGCCCGUAACUCUGCAGAUGUCAUUUGCAAAGAUUUCAAAGGCUUCGGCAUGAAGAAGAAAUCCAUCAUGGUCGUGGUAGACAAAAGCAACAACACUUUUAUCCUCUUUGCAGACGAUGUCUGAAUUUACCUUUAUCCAUUCCUGUGGGGGUGUGUUCACAGUUCGUUUGGUCCUUUACCUUUCGAGUGAAUUUUGCUCUCAGAUAAGUUCCAAAGAGACGACCCAGCAUGUAAUGAAUUAUUGUUGGAUCGAGCAAUUUGGGAAGAAACUGGAGUUUGGUUUGAAAAUGCGGAGGAACCACUCUCUAAUCGACAACUGGGAUAAAGAGUGUAACCUCAGUUGCUAUUUAGAGAGUAACCAGAAUCUUCCGAGAAAGGGCAACACAGAAAUAGAUGGUGGAUGUCUUCGACCUGAAUUUGGAAAAUUUAGCAAAUCUUACCUCUUGUUGGCAUUGUGUCAAACAUAGUUCUCCAAAUGAAAACUUUCAAGCAGUUAUGAAGAUCAUGCUUCCAAAUCCUUAUUUCAAGCAAUUUAGUUUCAUUAUCAAGAGGAAGAGCCCGUUGGAUAACUUGGAAUGUCGUUAUGGUUGUAAACUUUCAUGACUUAGAGGGCACCCAAUACGGUUUGAGGGGUUCCAUUGUGACUGGAGUUUGAAUUUUUUGAAUCUCCGAAAUGGUAUUUGCAGUGAACAAUUGGUGGAGAAGGUCAAGUUUUCAUUGGAGGCUACCUGGAUCAAUCAACUCAAAGACAUACACUGGUUCAAAAGGCGUGGUUGCAUUGUUCACGACAGGGGUGAAAUUUUGGAUUGAUGGUAUCUAGGGAUCUUCCCAAAUUUUGGUAGCUGUAUUAAUUGAGACCAUGUGCUCCCGUUUUUUGGAUGAUUUUUGCACACUUCACCGUGUCCUGUCAUAUCCAUGUGCUCCUUGAACCUGCAAUGAUGGUUUCAACCUUAUGCCAUUUUUCAAAUAUUUUGCACAAAUAAUCUUACACCAGAGUUUGUCAGAUUUUUUAAAUAUGUUCCAUGCGAUCUUUGCGGUGAGGGUUUUAUUGAAGUUGGAGAAUUUCUUGAAUCCUAAUUCUCAUUUGCUCUUUGGUUGGCAAAUGGAAUGCCAUGAU